rnacentral:rRNA from 1 species
AUUGAACGCUGGCGGCAGGCCUAACACAUGCAAGUCGAACGGUAGCACAGAGAGCUUGCUCUCGGGUGACGAGUGGCGGACGGGUGAGUAACGUCUGGGAAACUGCCCGAUGGAGGGGGAUAACUACUGGAAACGGUAGCUAAUACCGCAUAACGUCGCAAGACCAAAGUGGGGGACCUUCGGGCCUCACACCAUCGGAUGUGCCCAGAUGGGAUUAGCUAGUAGGUGGGGUAAUGGCUCACCUAGGCGACGAUCCCUAGCUGGUCUGAGAGGAUGACCAGCCACACUGGAACUGGGACACGGUCCAGACUCCUACGGGAGGCAGCAGUGGGGAAUAUUGCACAAUGGGCGCAAGCCUGAUGCAGCCAUGCCGCGUGUAUGAAGAAGGCCUUCGGGUUGUAAAGUACUUUCAGCGGGGAGGAAGGCGGUGAAGUUAAUAACUUCACCGAUUGACGUUACCCGCAGAAGAAGCACCGGCUAACUCCGCGCCAGCCGCCGCAGUAA